rnacentral:rRNA from 1 species
UACGUAGGGUGCAAGCGUUGUCCGGAAUUAUUGGGCGUAAAGAGCUCGUAGGCGGCUUGGUAAGUCGGAUGUGAAACCUCCAGGCUCAACCUGGAGUCGCCAUCCGAUACUGCCAUGGCUAGAGUCCGGUAGGGGCCCACGGAAUUCCUGGUGUAGCGGUGAAAUGACGCAGAUAUCAGGAGGAACACCGAUGGCGAAGGCAGUGGGCUGGGCCGGCACUGACGCUGAGGAGCGAAAGCGUGGGGAGCGAACAGG